rnacentral:rRNA from 1 species
AGGACGAACGCUGGCGGCGUGCUUAACACAUGCAAGUCGAGCGGAAAGGCCUUUCGGGGUACUCGAGCGGCGAACGGGUGAGUAACACGUGAGUAACCUGCCCUGAACUUUGGGAUAACCCUCGGAAACGGGGGCUAAUACCGGAUAUGACUUGACAUCGCAUGGUGUUUGGUGGAAAGUUUUUCGGUUUGGGAUGGGCUCGCGGCCUAUCAGCUUGUUGGUGGGGUAAUGGCCUACCAAGGCGACGACGGGUAG